rnacentral:rRNA from 1 species
CCUACGGGUGGCUGCAGUGAGGAAUAUUGGUCAAUGGACGAGAGUCUGAACCAGCCAAGUAGCGUGAAGGAUGACUGCCCUAUGGGUUGUAAACUUCUUUUAUAUGGGAAUAAAAUGUUCCACGUGUGGGAUUUUGUAUGUACCAUAUGAAUAAAGAUCGGCUAACUCCGUGCCAGCAGCCGCGGUAAUACGGAGGAUGCGAGCGUUAUGCGUAUUUAUUGGGUUUACAGGGAGCUUAUGUGGAUUGUUAAGUCAGUUGUGAAAGUUUGCGGUUCAACCGUAAAAUUGCAGUUGAAACUGGCAGUCUUGAGUACAGUAGAGGUGUGCGGAAUUCGUGGUGUAGCGGUGAAAUGCUUAGAUAUCACGAAGAACUCCGAUUGCGAAGGCAGUUCACUGGACUGCAACUGACACUGAGGCUCGAAAGUGUGGGUAUCAAACAGGAUUAGAUACCCUUGUAGUC